rnacentral:lncRNA from 1 species
CUCUUUGGACAUUUUCGCUUCACACGUCUCCCUUUUUCUGCACUUAUAGCACUGUAUGUCCUUUCUAGAAUUAAAUCAAGAUUUAUUGUCACUCAAUUCAUUUCAAAACUUGUUUAUCCCACAUUCAUGAUUGCUGUUAACCACAAACCCUUCACUAUAAAUCUAGUAGGGCACCUUUGGCCUGCUCCAACUUCAAUGUUUAUAUUCCUCAUAUCAUUGUGCCAAACUUUUGUAUGUAGAAGCAGGAAGAUAAUUCAAUAACAUUAAUACCUUAUCUUCAUCUUUGAACUUCACAUCAACUUCUUUAGAUCACUAAUAAUCUG